CAACAACAACAACAACAACAGGUCUCUUGCCUCCUGCUCUGGGAUGUGAUUUGGUGUAGAGAAAAACCAGAGCAAGCUGUGGGAAUGUACACAGAAAUAAGAUGUACAGGGAUUGCAGAAAGGAGCCGACUCUAUGUGAACGGUCCAUUUAGUCCCCCAAAUUAAAUAGGAAGCAACCUGUUGGGCUAUGCUGGCCCAUCCACAGUCUCUGGGUUCCUGUGUGUCCUGGCUCUCUCUGGCAACUGUGUAGGGUCCCAGCUGACUUUGCCUGGAGGAUGUAUUGCCUCCGUCUUCUUGGCCCCCUGACUGGGAUACUAUUGUUAAAAUUAAUAAAAAUUGAAUUGAAGAAGAAGAAAAAGAGGUUGGCUACCUGCACCCAUCUUCAAGUGCUACUUUCAAGACGUGCCUGUGGGGAUGCGUCCCGGCAAACCAGCUGAUUGGCUGAGGUGCAGGCCAAUAGCUGUGGCAGAUCGGACUGCUGGGACUCACUGGCAUGCAAGUGGCGGCCGCGGAGGCAAGAGGCAGGCUGCGGAGCCGGUACUCAGCCCGGUGGAGGGACAGUGAAAAGUCAGUGAUGGAUGUUGGAGGAUGUAGAAUAUAUUGCUGUUUUUCAGCACUUCCCUAAAGUCAGCAUAUGCCAUUUUUACCAAUAUCGAAAAUGCUAUUGUGCAAAACGGUUUUUAAUAAAAUGCU